AUUGAACGCUGCGGCAGGCUUAACACAUGCAAGUCGAGCGGGGUGAUGGUGCUUGCACUAUCACUUAGCGGCGGACGGGUGAGUAAUGCUUAGGAAUCUGCCUAUUAGUGGGGGACAACAUCUCGAAAGGGAUGCUAAUACCGCAUACGUCCUACGGGAGAAAGCAGGGGAUCACUUGUGACCUUGCGCUAAUAGAUGAGCCUAAGUCGGAUUAGCUAGUUGGUGGGGUAAAGGCCUACCAAGGCGACGAUCUGUAGCGGGUCUGAGAGGAUGAUCCGCCACACUGGGAGGUCGACACGGCCCAGACUCCUACGGGAAGCAGCAGUGGGGAAUAUUGGACAAUGGGGGGAACCCUGAUCCAGCCAUGCCGCGUGUGUGAAGAAGGACUUAUGGUUGUAAAGCACCUUAAGCGAGGAGGAGGCUCUUUUGGUUAAUACCCAAGAUGAGUGGACGUUACUCGCAGAAUAAGCACCGGCUAACUCUGUGCCAGCCGCCGCCGUAA
rnacentral:rRNA from 1 species